rnacentral:rRNA from 1 species
GACAGAGGGUGCGAACGUUGUUCGGAAUUACUGGGCGUAAAGCGCAUGUAGGCGGCAGCGCAAGUCGGGCGUGAAAUCCCACGGCUCAACCGUGGAAGUGCACUCGAAACUGCGCAGCUAGAGUCCUGGAGAGGAAGGUGGAAUGCUUGGUGUAGAGGUGAAAUUCGUAGAUAUCAAGCGGAACACCGGUGGCGAAGGCGGCCUCUGGGACA